AGUGAACGCUGGCGGCAGGCCUAAUACAUGCAAGUCGAACGGCAGCACAGCAGAGCUUGCUCUGUGGGUGGCGAGUGGCGGACGGGUGAGGAAUACGUGGGAAUCUGCCCAGUCGUGGGGGAUAACGUAGGGAAACUUACGCUAAUACCGCAUGCGCCCUUCGGGGGAAAGCCGGGGACCUUCGGGCCUGGCGCGAUUGGAUGAGCCCACGUCGGAUUAGCUAGUUGGCGGGGUAAAGGCCCACCAAGGCGACGAUCCGUAGCUGGUCUGAGAGGAUGAUCAGCCACACUGGAACUGAGACACGGUCCAGACUCCUACGGGAGGCAGCAGUAGGGAAUAUUGGACAAUGGGCGCAAGCCUGAUCCAGCCAUGCCGCGUGAGUGAAGAAGGCCCUCGGGUUGUAAAGCU
rnacentral:rRNA from 1 species